rnacentral:rRNA from 1 species
GGAUUGAGAGCUUGCUCUCAAGAAGUUAGCGGCGGACGGGUGAGUAACACGUGGGUAACCUGCCCAUAAGACUGGGAUAACUCCGGGAAACCGGGGCUAAUACCGGAUAACAUUUUGAACUGCAUGGUUCGAAAUUGAAAGGCGGCUUCGGCUGUCACUUAUGGAUGGACCCGCGUCGCAUUAGCUAGUUGGUGAGGUAACGGCUCACCAAGGCAACGAUGCGUAGCCGACCUGAGAGGGUGAUCGGCCACACUGGGACUGAGACACGGCCCAGACUCCUACGGGAGGCAGCAGUAGGGAAUCUUCCGCAAUGGACGAAAGUCUGACGGAGCAACGCCGCGUGAGUGAUGAAGGCUUUCGGGUCGUAAAACUCUGUUGUUAGGGAAGAACAAGUGCUAGUUGAAUAAGCUGGCACCUUGACGGUACCUAACCAGAAAGCCACGGCUAACUACGUGCCAGCAGCCGCGGUAAUACGUAGGUGGCAAGCGUUAUCCGGAAUUAUUGGGCGUAAAGCGCGCGCAGGUGGUUUCUUAAGUCUGAUGUGAAAGCCCACGGCUCAACCGUGGAGGGUCAUUGGAAACUGGGAGACUUGAGUGCAGAAGAGGAAAGUGGAAUUCCAUGUGUAGCGGUGAAAUGCGUAGAGAUAUGGAGGAACACCAGUGGCGAAGGCGACUUUCUGGUCUGUA